GCAUACUAGAGCGUUGUGAGCAGUUCGCGUGUGUGUGUUUGUCACGAUAGUUUGGUAGAAGUUGAGAUAAUGAGAAUGGUGUCAAAGCUCCAAGCUUUGGGGAUCUUGACUUUGUUGUAUUCAGUCAUUUCUGUUCACAGUUCAAAAAACAAAAGCUACAGCCGGCAUCCAUCACAGGAGUCGCAAAAUUCUUCAGCAACAAACCAAUCGCACCCUAAGACCAGCCGAGGAAACGGCGAACAUAACAGACCCCUUACGAUGGAUCAGCAGCUCACUCUGGCGAUGGCACCCAUGCUCAAUCUGACACGCUACCAAAAUAACGCGGGGAAAAAUGGCCACAGCAAGCGUCCCCUGACGAAGCCACGAUUUUCUCCAGAAAUGAGUUCCGUGAUGAACGUCACACAUUUUAAAAGU